ensembl:miRNA
UGAGGCAGGAGAAUCGCUUGAACCCAGGAAGUGGAGGCUGCAGUGAGCUGAGAUUGAGCCACUGCACUCCAGCCUGGGUGACAGAGUGAGACUUCGUCUC